rnacentral:lncRNA from 1 species
AGAAAUCCAGUGCAAAAUUAGGAAACACCAUCUCCAGAUUCAAUUGCUCUUGUUGCUUCUCCUCCUCGAAGUUUAUCAGAGUGGCGAUGCGGGUCCCAAAGGGCGAUCUACGAGGACAGUUGGAUGUUGAUCCGGGGCACCAGGAACCUACAAAAAUAAGUCCACACAUGUUGGAGAGGGAGAUGAGGGGUUCUCCGAUAAGAGAUCCUUCGAUGCUUAAGUUAGAGAGAAUUCGAAGAAGAGAGAACAAAAGAGGUAGAUAGGAUG